GCCUCUUUAGCUCAGUUGGUUAGAGCGUCGGACUGUUAAUCCGCAGGUCCUAGGUUCAAGUCCUAGAAGAGGCGCAA
rnacentral:tRNA from 1 species